ACACAUGCAAGUCGAGCGGUAACAGGUCCUUUCGGGAUGCUGACGAGCGGCGGACGGGUGAGUAAUGCAUAGGAAUCUGCCCGGUAGUGGGGGAUAACCUGGGGAAACCCAGGCUAAUACCGCAUACGUCCUACGGGAGAAAGGGGGCUCCGGCUCCCGCUAUUGGAUGAGCCUAUGUCGGAUUAGCUGGUUGGUGAGGUAAUGGCUCACCAAGGCAACGAUCCGUAGCUGGUCUGAGAGGAUGAUCAGCCACAUCGGGACUGAGACACGGCCCGAACUCCUACGGGAGGCAGCAGUGGGGAAUAUUGGACAAUGGGGGCAACCCUGAUCCAGCCAUGCCGCGUGUGUGAAGAAGGCCCUCGGGUUGUAAAGCACUUUCAGCGAGGAAGAACGCCUGGCGGUUAAUACCCGCCAGGAAAGACAUCACUCGCAGAAGAAGCACCGGCUAACUCCGUGCCAGCAGCCGCGGUAAUACGGAGGGUGCAAGCGUUAAUCGGAAUUACUGGGCGUAAAGCGCGCGUAGGUGGCUUGAUAAGCCGGUUGUGAAAGCCCCGGGCUCAACCUGGGAACGGCAUCCGGAACUGUCAGGCUAGAGUGCAGGAGAGGAAGGUAGAAUUCCCGGUGUAGCGGUGAAAUGCGUAGAGAUCGGGAGGAAUACCAGUGGCGAAGGCGGCCUUCUGGACUGACACUGACACUGAGGUGCGAAAGCGUGGGUAGCAAACAGGAUUAGAUACCCUGGUAGUCCACGCCGUAAACGAUGUCGACCAGCCGUUGGGUGCCUAGCGCACUUUGUGGCGAAG
rnacentral:rRNA from 1 species